AAGACUCUACUUUCAGCGAUCAUUUCUAUAGUUCAUUACCAGAGAAGUUUCUCUGAAUGUGUAGAGCACAAAAAGUAAAUAAGGCCAUGCCUAGACAUGUUA
rnacentral:snoRNA from 13 species